AGUAGGGAAUAUUGCACAAUGGAGGAAACUCUGAUGCAGCGACGCCGCGUGAGUGACGAAGGCCUUCGGGUUGUAAAGCUCUGUUCUCAGGGAAAAAGAAAGUGAUUGUACCUGAGAAGAAAGGACCGGCUAACUUCGUGCCAGCAGCCGCGGUAAGACGAGGGGUCCAAGCGUUGUUCGGAAUCAUUGGGCGUAAAGCGGGUGUAGGUGGCUCUAUAAGUCAGGAGUGAAAGCCCCGAGCUUAACUCGGGAAGUGCUUUUGAUACUGUAGAGCUUGAGUGUGGGAGAGGAUCGUGGAAUUCCAGGUGUAGUGGUGAAAUACGUAGAUAUCUGGAGGAACACCGGUGGCGAAGGCGGCGAUCUGGCCCAACACUGACACUGAGACCCGAAAGCAUGGGGAUCAAA
rnacentral:rRNA from 1 species